GGUGAACCUGCGGAAGGAUCAUUAUCGAGUUUUGAAAUGGGUUGUAGCUGGCCUUCCGAGGCAUGUGCACACCCUGCUCAUCCGCUCUACACCUGUGCACUUACUGUAGGUGACCUUUGGGAGGGCUGGCUUUGCUGGCUUUCCUUCGGGUUGCUUACGUUUCACUACAAACGCUUCAGUAUCAGAAUGUGUAUUGCGAUGUAACGCAUCUAUAUACAACUUUCAGCAACGGAUCUCUUGGCUCUCGCAUCGAUGAAGAACGCAGCGAAAUGCGAUAAGUAAUGUGAAUUGCAGAAUUCAGUGAAUCAUCGAAUCUUUGAACGCACCUUGCGCUCCUUGGUAUUCCGAGGAGCAUGCCUGUUUGAGUGUCAUGAAUCUCUCAACCUAUAAGUCCUUGUGACUUGUAGGAUUGGACUUGGAGGCUUGCUGGCGGGUUUAUGACUUUGUCGGCUCCUCUCAAAUGCAUUAGCUUGGUUCCUUGCGGAUCGGCUCUCAGUGUGAUAAUUGUCUACGCUGUGACCGUGAAGCGUUUGGCUAGCUUCUAACUGUCUCUCUAGAGACACUUAUAUCUGACCUCUGACCUCAAAUCAGUAGACACCCGUGGCUGAGCCAGUGAAACUGCGAUCAGAUCAUUUAUCGAGUUUUGAAAUGGGUUGUAGCUGGCCUUCCCGAAGGCAUGUGCACACCCUGCUCAUCCGCUCUACACCUGUGCACUUACUGUAGGUGACCUUUGGGAGGGCUGGCUUUGCUGGCUUUCCUUCGGGUUGCUUACGUUUCACUACAAACGCUUCAGUAUCAGAAUGUGUAUUGCGAUGUAACGCAUCUAUAUACAACUUUCAGCAACGGAUCUCUUGGCUCUCGCAUCGAUGAAGAACGCAGCGAAAUGCGAUAAGUAAUGUGAAUUGCAGAAUUCAGUGAAUCAUCGAAUCUUUGAACGCACCUUGCGCUCCUUGGUAUUCCGAGGAGCAUGCCUGUUUGAGUGUCAUGAAUCUCUCAACCUAUAAGUCCUUGUGACUUGUAGGAUUGGACUUGGAGGCUUGCUGGCGGGUUUAUGACUUUGUCGGCUCCUCUCAAAUGCAUUAGCUUGGUUCCUUGCGGAUCGGCUCUCAGUGUGAUAAUUGUCUACGCUGUGACCGUGAAGCGUUUGGCUAGCUUCUAACUGUCUCUCUAGAGACACUUAUAUCUGACCUCUGACCUCAAAUCAGGUAGGACUACCCGCUGAACU
rnacentral:rRNA from 1 species